rnacentral:rRNA from 1 species
CAGCUGCGAGACUUGGUGUGAAUUGCAGGACACAUUGAGCACUGAUUUUUCGAACGCGCAUUGCGGCCUCGGGUCUCGCCCGGGGCCUCGCCUGUCUGAGGGUCGGAUGCGACAUACCGAGAGGUGUACUCUUCACGACCUCCGUCUUCCGACGAUCCCAGUGUCGCAGGAAGUGGAGUGCUAUCGCCUCACGUGGCCGCUUCGGAGCGUUUCGGCGCUCCGUCGGCUCCAGUCUUGGUUCGGUGUUGACGGGGAAGACCUGCCUCGGCGUCCGUCUCGACGUGGCCGUGGGAAAGGCGAGUGAAACGUUCUUUCUGCACCGCUGGCUCACCGUUCGAGAUGCCGUGACGGCGGACCUUCCGUUUCUCAUUUUGUCGACCUCAGAUCAGACGAGACGACCCGCUGAAUU